CGGCGAGCCCCAACGCGGCUCCGCGAGGACGGGGCGAGGCCACCGUGCGGGAGCCGGCGCGGCUGCGUCGGGGAAGGCGGCCUCAGAACACCUGUCCCCUAAGCCAGUUCACUGCAUGCAAUAGGCAAUAUCCUGAGGGAGCGCUGCCAGAGGAACUACUGGGUGGAUGAUGUGAGCUGCAAGCUUAUGAUCCGUGGAUAGCUGUUGAUCUAUAAGACAUCAAAAACUCGUCUUGGAGGAAUUUAGUAAAGAAAGAGCAACAGCAUCCAUGGGUACAAACAAGGAAGUAAAUAAAUAAAACAGUG